AGAGUUUGAUCCUGGCUCAGGACGAACGCUGGCGGCGUGCCUAAUACAUGCAAGUAGAACGCUGAAGAGAGGAGCUUGCUCUUCUUGGAUGAGUUGCGAACGGGUGAGUAACGCGUAGGUAACCUGCCUUGUAGCGGGGGAUAACUAUUGGAAACGAUAGCUAAUACCGCAUAACAAUGGAUGACACAUGUCAUUUAUUUGAAAGGGGCAAUUGCUCCACUACAAGAUGGACCUGCGUUGUAUUAGCUAGUAGGUGAGGUAAUGGCUCACCUAGGCGACGAUACAUAGCCGACCUGAGAGGGUGAUCGGCCACACUGGGACUGAGACACGGCCCAGACUCCUACGGGAGGCAGCAGUAGGGAAUCUUCGGCAAUGGGGGCAACCCUGACCGAGCAACGCCGCGUGAGUGAAGAAGGUUUUCGGAUCGUAAAGCUCUGUUGUAAGUCAAGAACGGGUGUGAGAGUGGAAAGUUCACACUGUGACGGUAGCUUACCAGAAAGGGACGGCUAACUACGUGCCAGCAGCCGCGGUAAUACGUAGGUCCCGAGCGUUGUCCGGAUUUAUUGGGCGUAAAGCGAGCGCAGGUGGUUUAUUAAGUCUGGUGUAAAAGGCAGUGGCUCAACCAUUGUAUGCAUUGGAAACUGGUAGACUUGAGUGCAGGAGAGGAGAGUGGAAUUCCAUGUGUAGCGGUGAAAUGCGUAGAUAUAUGGAGGAACACCGGUGGCGAAAGCGGCUCUCUGGUCUGUAACUGACGCUGAGGCUCGAAAGCGUGGGGAGCGAACAGGAUUAGAUACCCUGGUAGUCCACGCCGUAAACGAUGAGUGCUAGGUGUUGGAUCCUUUCCGGGAUUCAGUGCCGCAGCUAACGCAUUAAGCACUCCGCCUGGGGAGUACGACCGCAAGGUUGAAACUCAAAGGAAUUGACGGGGGCCCGCACAAGCGGUGGAGCAUGUGGUUUAAUUCGAAGCAACGCGAAGAACCUUACCAGGUCUUGACAUCCCGAUGACCGGUUCAGAGAUGAGCCUUUUCUUCGGAACAUCGGUGACAGGUGGUGCAUGGUUGUCGUCAGCUCGUGUCGUGAGAUGUUGGGUUAAGUC
rnacentral:rRNA from 1 species